GAUGAACGCUGGCGGCGUGCCUAAUGCAUGCAAUUCGAUCGAACAGACGAGGAGCUUGCUCCUCUGGCGUUAGCGGCGGGCGGGUGGGUAACGCGUGGGUAACCUCUCUAUAAGACUUGGAUAACUUCGGGAAACCGGAGCGAAUAGCGGAUACUAUAUUGAACCGCAUGGUUCCAUAGUGAAAGACGGUUUUGCUGUCCCUGCUAGAUGGAUCCGCGCCGCAGUAGCUAGCUGGUUAGGUAACGGCUUAACAAGGCAACGAUGCGUAGCCGACAUGAGAGGGUGAGCGGCCACAUCAGCAGUGCGACCCGGUCCAGACUCCGACGGGAGGCAGCAGUAGGGAAUCUGCCGCAAUGGGCGAAAGCUUGACGGAGCAACGCCGCGUGAGUCAUGAAGGUAGUCGGAUCGGAAAACUCUGUGCUGAGGGAGGAACAAAUGUGUAAGCACCUAUACACGUCUUGACGGUACCUAAGCAGAAAGACACGGCUAACUCCGUG
rnacentral:rRNA from 1 species